UGGCUCAGUAGGUAGAGCAUGGUGUUUGCAAUGCCAGGGUUGUGGGUUUGAUUCCCAC
rnacentral:tRNA from 1 species